rnacentral:ncRNA from 1 species
CCUUUGGAGAGCUAUAUCAAACAAAAGUAGAUUACUAUUUAUAGUAUUCAAAAUUGGGUUCAAUGAACAAGGAA